rnacentral:pre_miRNA from 1 species
GUUCAGACUUUAUUUCGCCUUAUUACAGUGCCGGAGAUAGUAUUCCAUUCACUUCAUGUGGUAUCAUUUGGCACACUUCCGUAAACCUGAUUGUUUAAAGUCAAGUU